rnacentral:rRNA from 1 species
UACGUAGGGUGCGAGCGUUGUCCGGAAUUAUUGGGCGUAAAGGGUGUGUAGGCGGUUCUUUUAAGUUUGGUGUGAAAUCUCCCGGCUCAACCGGGAGGGUGCGCCGAAUACUGAGGGACUUCGAGUGCGGGAGAGGAAAGUGGAAUUCCUGGUGUAGCGGUGAAAUGCGUAGAUAUCAGGAGGAACACCGGUGGUGUAGACGGCUUUCUGGACCGUAACUGACGCUGAGACACGAAAGCGUGGGUAGCAAACAGG